UCUAGCUGCUCCAGCCGUCGUCUUCCUCCUUCAACCUUAAUACUAWAACCCACGAGAACCACCAGCCGUCGUCUUCUUCCUUCAAACCGUACACCAUCGCUUCUCCAGUUUCAUCGAUCUCUCUAUCGAUAACCACCCGCUCCAUCGCUUCUCCAGGUUCAUCGAUCUCUCUAUCGAGAACCACCCGUUCCAUCGCUUCUCCAGUUUUGUCUCCUAUUUUGCGAUUGUAUUUGGGUUUUUGAAGGUACUUCCAGAAUGGGUUUUUGAAGUGUGAGGGAAUGGUGAGGUUGGAUCUCAACCACAAGAAGUUUGAGUUGAGUAUGGGUGGCUUGGCAGUCGACUUGCGAGGAUGAGAGGACCGGCGAAGGGAUUCUCUAAGCCGGUAUAUGCAGUUGACGAGGAAGAUUUACGGCAACAACUUGCCGAUACGACGAGGAGAUUCRCUUGCUUAAAUGGGGACAACAUGAGGCAAAAAAGGAAGCGUCCGAACAAAGAAAGAUGAUACAAUCAUUGAUGACUAUGUUGGGUGCUAGUGAUUCAAACUCUAACAUAACAACCCCGACCUYUCACGCUUUAGGUUAAGUUUUUAAUUUUGUGUUAUUGAACUUGUUGCCUACUCUUAGACUUAUUUAGGAAAAAAUUUAUCUUUCAAUUAUUGAACUUAUUAAUAUUGUUUCGUUAUAAAAGUUGUUUGUAUAAAACAUUUGGUUGUUUGUAUAAAAUAUUU